GGGGAAUAUUGGACAAUGGGGGCAACCCUGAUCCAGCAAUACCGCGUGUGUGAAGAAGGCCUGAGGGUUGUAAAGCACUUUCAGUGGGGAGGAGGGUUGAUAGGUUAAGAGCUAAUCAACUGGACGUUACCCACAGAAGAAGCACCGGCUAACUCCGUGCCAGCAGCCGCGGUAAUACGGAGGGUGCAAGCGUUAAUCGGAAUUACUGGGCGUAAAGAGUUCGUAGGUGGUUAGGUAAGUUAUGUGUGAAAUCCCUGGGCUUAACCUGGGCAGCUCAUAUAAUACUGCUUGACUCGAGUAUGGGAGGGGGUAGUGGAAUUUCCGGUGUAGCGGUGAAAUGCGUAGAGAUCGGAAGGAACACCAGUGGCGAAGGCGGCUACCUGGCCUAAUACUGACACUGAGGAACGAAAGCGUGGGGAGCAAAC
rnacentral:rRNA from 1 species